GGAUGUGAGGGUGAUCUAGCUAUAACAUAUGUCAUCCCACUGAUCACCAGGGUUGAUUCCGCUGACCUGGCUGGCCAGGCAAAAGUCCCCUUGUCCCCUCACCGCUCCAUGUGUGUCCCUCCUGAAGCUGCAUGCGCACUUGAAGAGGACGACUAUCCCUCGUAGAGGAGGACCAUUCUUCAGUCAAGGGUAUACGAAUAGCUGUGCUCCUCUGCUCGAAUCUGCAAACAAGCUCUCAAAAUUAAUCCUAUGCCCACUGUAACUAUUGAUGGAAUUGGGGUAAAAAACAUGAUGUGACCCAAUUUACAUUUUGCUUCUGAGUUUUGGUGGAUAGAUUCUUUGGGGAGAA
ensembl:misc_RNA 7SK 7SK RNA